rnacentral:misc_RNA from 1 species
GAUGAAGAACGUAGCGAAAUGCGAUAAGUAAUGUGAAUUGCGGAAUUCAGUGAAUCAUCGAAUCUUUGAACGCACAUUGCGCCCCCUGGUAUUCCGGGGGGCAUGCCUGUUCGAGCGUCAUUUCACCACUCAAGCCUCGCUUGGUAUUGGGCAACGCGGUCCGCCGCGUGCCUCAAAUCGACCGGCUGGGUCUUCUGUCCCCUAAGCGUUGUGGAAACUUUCGCUAAAGGGUGUUCGGGAGGCUACGCCGUAAAGCAACUCCAUUUCUAAGGUUGACCUCGGAUCAGGUAGGGAUACCCGCUGAAUUUAAGCAUAUCAAUAAGCGGAGGA